rnacentral:rRNA from 1 species
UACGUAGGGUGCAGGCGUUAAUCGGAAUUACUGGGCGUAAAGCGUGCGCAGGCGGUCUUUUAAGUCAGAUGUGAAAUCCCCGGGCUUAACCUGGGAACUGCGUUUGAGACUGGAAGGCUUGAGUGUGGCAGAGGGGGGUGGAAUUCCACGUGUAGCAGUGAAAUGCGUAGAGAUGUGGAGGAACACCGAUGGCGAAGGCAGCCCCCUGGGCUAACACUGACGCUCAUGCACGAAAGCGUGGGGAGCAAACAGG